UAUGACGAAUUUGAGGCACUUUUCGCACUACGCUCACUCUGAGGUAAGCUCGAACCCACCUAUGGAGUUGAGUUGAGAAUUUCUAAUCUGGAUUAAGGUUGGGUUGUUGAUGAAUCUUAUCAAAUAAACUGAGGUCGGAUUAGAUUGGUAAUUCAAUAUUGAUAUUAUGCUAAUCGGGUUUUAUUUCAAAUAAGAGCUCACCAGUGGCCAAUCCUCAUGGAUGAGCUUCAUGUUUAGUAAAUAGAUUGAUUUCUUUCUCUUAGAUAUAGUUUCUUUAGUUUAUGGUUUCACAAAACCCAUGUUGUGCAAAAAGCAUUAUGUUCAUCUCUUCAAUACGACAAAGAUAUUUUACUAUGUUUUGUUUUCAGAGAAGCAAGCUGCAAAUUGUAUUCCUUGAUUGGGAAUAAAUUCAUUCUAGGUAUGGAUGCAUCCCAGUUACAAAUUCAGUUUCUAUAUAUUUUGGCAGGAGAAGUUAAAAUGAAUUGGCAACAUUUGCGGGUUUAAGUGUUGUCCCUAGCUCGCAGUAAGCAUGUCUUGUAAAAUAUUAAAUUUUCGGGAUUACAUUGAUCGGGAUUAUUAAAGUCUUGAUUAUUUAGUUCUUUUGUUGUUAAAGCAACAAUUCUGAGAACUUUAUGUUAUGACUAUUUUUGACUGAAUGUGUCCUCUUUAAGAGUAACGAUACUAUCUUCCGAUGUUAUAUGCUCAUCUUUUAAACUUAGGCUUUAAAUGACACCAAUGCUUGAUAAGGUAUACAAUUUUAAAAGUAAGUGUUAAGAUGCCAUUCACUUUUGGUAAAUUAUAUGUAUUGAUCUUGACAAAAAAAUUACUCAUUAUUUCUUUCAUUGUGUCAUAAUGAUAAUCAGUAAAUUCUUACAAGUUUUUUGCUUAUUGAAUGGUUGCAGACAUGCUAUGUUUCUGUAUCCAAGCACAAUCUUUUGCCAUUUUGGAUCCUUAUUUAAUUGACAUUGCUGAAUAUGAUGCACAAUUCGGAGAAGAUCAACUAAUAUAUAUCAGUAUAUAUCUUGGAUGGAUGACUCCUCAGCUUGGAUUCAGAAAACAUCAGUAAAAAUAGAUGCUUGGAAAUCGGAGACAUUGAUUGUGAUCAGUUGGUCAAGAUCGAGUUUCAUUACUACUUCACCCCUUUUGUGGUGAUUGUUUUGAACAUUGACGUUGUGAUAAUAUUGUGUACUUUUUCUAUGACAAUAAUCUUAUGUAAUUUAGGGUGAAAGGAUUAUGUAAUUGUAAUACUCGUUUCAAUAUAUUAUUAUUGGAUUUUACCUGA